UUAAUCUAACAGCAAAUGCAAAAAUCCAAAUUAUUCCUGAGCAUCAAUUAAUCUGAAGACUGAGGAAUGGAGGAAAUGUAAAUACAAAAGAGUAUGUGCUACACAUAAAGGGGUCAUAUAAUUUAUUAUCCAAAUUAGGACACUUUUAAGAGUAAAAGCACUAUUAAUAAUUAUGUUGGGACAACAGGCAAUUGAGAAUAAGAUCAAGUGAUAUAGUAUUUGUUUUGCUCAUUUUUAUAUUAUCCAGAGGUAUGAAAGAUAUUCACCUUUUUUUGAUGCAGAAUAAAAAUGCAUGGGAAAAGGCUUCAGGCUAAAUUCAAAGAAGUGAUCUAAUAUAUUUGAUUCAGAACAUUUUGGUCCUCUUAACUAGCAAAACCAAAAGCACUUUAGGUCUAUUGCCAGGAGUUCGAAGAGGCUUUAUAAAUGAUCAAGAAGGGUGAGAAGUAAGGAAUCUAUUAAAUCAGGAGAUUUAUUGUUAUGUACUUUCGCUAUAUCAUUUAAGUUUUUUUUUAAUUGGCAAAAAAAUUGGCAUAACUUCUGAGUAAAAGAAGCACAGAAUUUGGGGGUUAAUGGCUUCGGUAUGAUUUCAGGCUAGAAGAAGGAAAGAAGUGAGAUAACUUUAGCAAAAUGAGAAAAAUAAGAUUAAAUAUACUUGCACGAUACAUAAAAGUAAGAAUACACAAAGGACAAAAUAACUUCAAUUUAAAAAAUAAGCGCAAUGCCUGGCACUAAUAGUUGCUCAAUAAAUGUGAUCUGAUUGGUGAAAGAAAGAGACAGUCAUAAUGCCUAGGUAAAAUAGCUAAAGAUGACGAUUUACUUAUAGGGAUAUUCAACAGAAUAAACUGAAAGUGACAGAAACAUUUCCUUAUUUAAAAACAGACUGAUGCCUGUGUCACUAGGAUUAAUCCAGAAGUAGAACUCUACUAGUUACUCACUCUAGGAACAAAGAAAAAUGAGCUACUUCUAGAAGUUAGCCAGCUGAAAGGGCAAUAUUUGAUGCUCCGGGACACCUAGAGUUUCUGUUAUUGGUAAGAGGAAAGACUCGCUCAUUCAAAGUUAUUAGCACACCAGGAUCUGGUCACCAGAUAUUUCACACUGUAGGCAUUUAAAAUCAGUACCCCUCAUGCUUCAUCACUUUACUUCCCCACAACUUUACACAUCCAGCACAACAGGAACAAAAGGAGACCACUCAAGUGCUAAGAACAACGAAAUCUGCCACAUCAGAGAAAAAGCGUUCACAGUGCUGAGGCUCAUUUAUUUUGAAUAAAUCUCCAGUGGAAAUGUGUAGACGAAAUAAGCAUGCAGAACAGUACAGCACGAUGCAGGCACACUGAGUCAGACACACAAUGGAGGAAGCAGAAAACAUAACAGGAAAACACAAUGUGAAUAAAUGCUACAAUGGCUCUUCUCUGAAAGGAAGUUCACUCCCCAAAGAAAGAAAUGCAAAGCCUGCUAAGGAAAGUCAGAGGUGGUGAGUUGUCUGAACCAAGAGAAAACUUUUCCUAAGGAUACAGAAACCCAUAAGACUAGGGCUGAUCCCAAGAGCAGUGAAACAAGGAAAAAGCAAAGUAAACUAGAUGUGCAGAGUCAGACUGGGGAAGGAAAGACGCAAAGGCCCAUCUCUGAUGAGAAUAAAAUCCAUUUCUUUUAGAAGAAUGCUAAAAAUCCUCUAUCUUUUAGAAAAUAACUCAUUUCUGAGAAAAUAUUUGAAGAGCAGCUUUCUACUGGUCUCAUUUCAGUUCUUUUCUGUUAAUUUUAAGUAGAUUUAAAUUUCUAACUUUUUAAUUAAAAAAAAAAAGUUGUGCCUCCUCUUUCCACAAGAAGGCCCCAAGCAAGUGCAGGUGAGCACAACUGCUGCUGGGAAUCUGAGCCAACACGCUCGACCUUCCUUUUUAACUGGAUCUUAAGAACUACUAUAUUUUGCAUGAUAAGGACACACAUCAGAUUCAGGACUCCAAGAAUUCUUAGAAAGGUGUGGGAUUAGGCAGGAAGUACAGUAAAACCACAUUCACAUGGCAUAUGGAAUGGAAAAGCCUUCUUUUUCUUGUUUACCAGGGAAGUGAGAGGCAACCAUGCAAGGCCGUGUGUCAGCAAACGGCAAUACCAGUGUCCAUUACCCCAAAGGGCUCAGAUAGUGUGAGAAAAUGGUUUCUGAUCAAUUAUUCUUUCAAAGUUCAAUUAAAUUUAAAGAUCUAACAUCCAGUUGUUCUGCUCCUUUUCAGGGACUUGAACUGUAUAUUGGCGCUUCUAAAGACUGAAGAGCAGGUCCAAGAAUGAGAACGUUUCUUGCCACUGAGACUGUAAAACAGGGUGAAAGCUAUGAGCGAAAACAUUUUGAGCAGUUUAUACUGUUGAUUCAGGAUGAGAUCCUCAGUCUGUUUUCAGCUUUUGAUUGGUGUCAGCAGCCUAAAGAAGUUAGGAGGCCAUCUCUCCAAAUCUACUCUACCUUCCUGUUCCAAAGGCAUGUUCCAGAGGGAAAGUUUCAUGCAGGAAAAGACAGGUGUGUGCAAAAGUAUAUCCUUUGACAAAUUUCCACAGCAUUCUACACGUUCCAACACAAAACCAACAGAAAAGAGUGCGACUUGGUCAGUCCCCUGACCAAGGCUAAGAAGAUAGGUGAGAGAAAGAGGAAGACAGAUAUAUGGGAUCACUGAUGCCAGUCUUACAUCACUGAUGAGCACAUUAGUUUUCUUAAGCUGCCUCAUCAUAGGGGUGUCAUAAGAUGCGGCGCCGUGCCCGUACCCUCUCCUUUGGCCUUUGACGUAUUCCGCCUAGAGUACCAGCAAGACAGCAAAGUCAGAACGGGGAGGGCCCACCCAGAGGGGAAGUCUCCUUGGACCAGGGGCCGCACCAUGAAGCUGUCAAUCCUGAGGCAAGCCUUUCCCAGGAAGUAAACCCAGGAAAGGGAGCUCAUAAAACGAUCUGGUUGGGACUCAUUCUCCACAUCAUAGGAUUCACUUGGGGUUAGAAAUACAGGUCUCUCUCGGGUUUCCCUGGUGGCGCAGUGGUUGAGAGUCCGCCUGCCGAUGCAGGGGACACGGGUUCAUUGCCCGGUCCGGGAAGAUCCCACAUGCCGCGGAGCGGCUGGGCCCGUGAGCCAUGGACGCUGAGCCUGCGCGUCCAGAGCCUGUGCUCUGCAACGGGAGAGGCCACAACAGUGAGAGGCCCGCGUACCGCAAAAAAAAAAAAAAAAAAAAAAAAAAAAAGAAAU